GCGNNAUGCAGUCGAGCGGUACAGAAAGUAGCUUGCUACUUUGCUGACGAGCGGCGGACGGGUGAGUAAUGCUUGGGAACAUGCCUUGAGGUGGGGGACAACAGUUGGAAACGACUGCUAAUACCGCAUAAUGUCUACGGACCAAAGGGGGCUUCGGCUCUCGCCUUUAGAUUGGCCCAAGUGGGAUUAGCUAGUUGGUGAGGUAAUGGCUCACCAAGGCGACGAUCCCUAGCUGGUUUGAGAGGAUGAUCAGCCACACUGGGACUGAGACACGGCCCAGACUCCUACNGGAGGCAGCNUUGGGGAAUAUUGCACAAUGGGCGCAAGCCUGAUGCANCCAUGCCGCGUGUGUGAAGAANGCCUUCCGGUUGU
rnacentral:rRNA from 1 species